rnacentral:rRNA from 1 species
AUUGAACGCUGGCGGCAGGCUUAACACAUGCAAGUCGAGCGAGCGGCGGACGGGUGAGUAAUGUCUGGGAAACUGCCUGAUGGAGGGGGAUAACUACUGGAAACGGUAGCUACUACCGCAUACCAUCAGAUGUGCCCAGAUGGGAUUGGCUAGUAGGUGGGGUAAUGGCUCACCUAGGCGACGAUCCCUAGCUGGUCUGAGAGGAUGACCAUCCACCGUGGAGAUGAGACACGGUCCAGACUCCUACGGUAGGCAGCAGUGGGGAAUAAUGGACAAGGGGCGCAAGCCUGAUGCAGCCAUGCCGCGAGGGUGAAGAAGGCCUUCGGGUUGUGAAGCACUUUCAGCGAGGAGGCGUUACUCGCAGAAGAAGCACCGGCUAACUCCGUGCCAGCAGCCGCGGUAAUUC